UACGUAGGGUGCGAGCGUUAAUCGGAAUCACUGGGCGUAAAGCGCACGUAGGCGGAUCGUUAAGUCAGGGGUGAAAUCCUGGAGCUCAACUCCAGAACUGCCUUUGAUACUGGCGACCUUGAGUUCGGGAGAGGUGAGUGGAACUGCGAGUGUAGAGGUGAAAUUCGUAGAUAUUCGCAAGAACACCAGUGGCGAAGGCGGCUCACUGGCCCGAUACUGACGCUGAGGUGCGAAAGCGUGGGGAGCAAACAGG
rnacentral:rRNA from 1 species